ACUACUCCUAUCAGGAGGGGAGAACCGGCGAAAGUCGGACUAAUACCGCAUGAAGCAGGGGCCCCGCAUGGGGGAUAUUUGCUAAAGAUUCAUCGCUGAUAGAUAGGCAUGCGUUCCAUUAGGCAGUUGGCGGGGUAACGGCCCACCAAACCGACGAUGGAUAGGGGUUCUGAGAGGAAGGUCCCCCACAUUGGUACUGAGACACGGACCAA
rnacentral:rRNA from 1 species